CCAUGUUUCGCUGAGACCAAUGUUGAAAAUUUCCCAUUGUCAAAUUACCCUCCGACCAAUGUACGCUCCGACCAGCACCACCAGCACUCCAAUCACACUCCAUAAGCAUUCCAACCACACACCACCAGCACGCUCCGACCACACACCAUCAGUACGCUCCGACCACAUAUCACCACCAAUCGAUCAAGUGCUCCGACCAUAAAAUCGAGCACCAAUGCAUGCUCCGACCACCAGUACUCCGACCAGAAAUCAGCUUCUCCACUGCUCCGACAACCACUUCCAUUUCAGCUCUCAAAUUUGCACUUCAAUUUCUGAGCAAAUUUGGGGUUUUCUUCUUCAAUUUGGUGAUUUUAAG
rnacentral:lncRNA from 1 species